UGAGUAAUUGUAAUGCAUGUU
rnacentral:piRNA from 1 species